rnacentral:rRNA from 1 species
GAGUUUGAUCCUGGCUCAGGAUGAACGCUAGCGGCGUGCCUAAUGCAUGCAAGUCGAACGGUAGCCAUAGGACUUCGGUUUUGUGGUGAGAGUGGCGGACGGGUGAGUAACACGUUGGUGACCUGCCCCGGAGAGGGGGAUAACCGCUGGAAACGGCGGCUAAUACCGCGGACGUCGUCGUGGUUAGAGAGCGAUGACUGAAGGGGAGGAGGCGAGAGCCUUCUUCGCACUCCGGGAGGGGCCUGCGGCCCAUCAGCUAGUUGGUGGGGUAAGAGCCUACCAAGGCCGAGACGGGUAGGGGGCGUGAGAGCGCGACCCCCCACACUGGUACUGAAACACGGACCAGAUACCUGCGGGUAGCAGCAGCAAGGGAUAUUGCGCAAUGGGGGCAACCCUGACGCAGCAACGCCGCGUGGAGGAAGAAGUCCUUCGGGAUGUAAACUCCUUUUCUGGGGGAAGAAGGCGGGCCUACUCGCGAGGGUGGGCUUGCGGUGACGGUACCCCAGGAAGAAGGCCCGGCUAACUACGUGCCAGCAGCCGCGGUAAAACGUAGGGGUCGAGCGUUAUCCGGAAUUACUGGGCGUAAAGGGCGUGCAGGCGGCUGAGGAAGUCGGACGUGAAAGCUCCUGGCUCAACUGGGAGAGGCGUUCGAAACUCUUUGGCUAGAGGACGGUAGAGGCGAGUGGAAUUCCCGGUGUAGUGGUGAAAUGCGUAGAUAUCGGGAGGAACACCAGAGGCGAGAGCGGCUCGCUGGGCCGAUUCUGACGCUGAGACGCGAAAGCUAGGGGAGAGAACGGGAUUAGAAACCCCGGUAUUCCUAGCCGUAAACGAUGUCAACUAGGUGUAGGGGGUGUAGAAGCCUUCUGCGCUGCCGCCAACGCAGUAAGUUGACCGCCUGGGGAGUACGGCCGCAAGGCUAAAACUCAAAGGAAUUGACGGGGGCCCGCACAAGCAGCGGAGCGUGUGGUUUAAUUCGAGGCAACGCGAAGAACCUUACCAGGGUUUGACAUGCUGGUGGUAGGGAGGUGAAAGCCGACUGACCCUUCGGGGAGCCAGCACAGGUGCUGCAUGGCUGUCGUCAGCUCGUGCCGUGAGGUGUUAGGUUAAGUCCUGUAACGAGCGCAACCCACGUCGUUAGUUAUACGUGUCUAGCGAGACAGCCGGUGAUAAGCCGGAGGAAGGUGUGGAUGACGUCAAGUCAGCAUGGCCUUUAUAUCCUGGGCGACACACACGCUACAAUGGCCGGUACAAUGGGCAGCGAAGUCGCGAGGCGGAGCCAAUCCCGCAAAGCCGGUCUCAGUUCGGAUUGCAGGCUGCAACUCGCCUGCAUGAAGUCGGAGUUGCUAGUAACCGCAGGUCAGCCACACUGCGGUGAAUACGUUCCCGGGCCUUGUACACACCGCCCGUCACGUCAUGGGAGUUGGCAACGCCUGAAGUCGGUGGGCUAACGGCGCUUCGGCGUCGGGGCAGCCGCCUAAGGCGGGGUCGGUAACUGGGACGA